CACCCAGUAAACUUCAGCUUACUCUCCAAGACAACCCCAAUUCCCAAAUAAAACCAUUACUAUUAACAGAAAAAAAAAAAAAAAAAACUUAAAAGGUGUUUUAACUCUCUACUUUCAAAACAGUCUGUGUACUUUUACACAUCUAAAAGGCUAGAUGUUUCAAAUAAGGAUUUAAGUUUGUCCACUACACACACACACAGUAGCACUGAACACAGCGUACAAUGGCUACAGUCUCAAAGUAUCAUCUAAACAGAACACUCUAGCCAAGGACCCUUCCCCUUUAUCUACCCAGUGGACAAGUCUAAUAAGCAUCUAUAAUGCUUAGAGGGGAUUUUAACAAUUUCACUUCUGCCAGUUUUCAGAAAUCUUGCCUAUGAAUUUUAACAUCAAGUGUACACAAUGUAUUUAUUGGUUAUUUUUGUCAUACACUGGCAACCUCUUUAACAUCUAGGAAGACUAGAUGUUGUAAAUUUGGACGUUUGUCCCUUAUGUACACUAUAUACACAACUAAACCAAAACGCAGACACAUACAGGACAACGGUUAACCUUGCCUAACAUAAACAUACUGGUAUAACCCCCCUUGUACUUUCUCCCUGAACCAGCACAAAUAAAGUAAUACGUACUGCUCUGAGAGGUGGUUUGAUCACUCUGAUUAUUCCAUUUCUUAAUGAGUAUUUCGUAUGAAUCUUAAUGAAAGGAUAUAUCUACAAAAUGUUAUUUCACUACCUCUACUUUUAACAUACUUUGUGCACUUCUAAACAUCUAGAAAGACUAGAUGUUUCAAAUAAGGACUUAAGUUUGUCCGCUAUAUACACAGUAGUGUUGAAUAAACUACACACAUGUAACAAUGGUUAUACCUGAAGGUAUCUUCUACGAAGGAACAUUCUGGUCUAGAACUUUUCAUUUCUUCCAAUUCCUCCUUUUUGCCAUCCAUCCAACAGUGAGUGGCAAGUACAGGCACAUGUAUCACUUAGAUGUGAUUUAUGAUAGUUUCACUUUCAAAGGUCCUUUUCAGAAGACAGCCUUUCCAAUGAAUUGUAACACAAAGUGUACAAAAUGUGUUAGUUUACUAACCCUACUUUUGUCAUACAUUGGCAACCUCUUUAAUAUCUAGAGACUAGAUAUUAUAAAAUUGGGACCCAUUUGUCCAAUAUAUACAUAAUAUAUAAAGUUAAAUGAAAUGCACUUAACAUAUAAAGCAAUGGUAAGCUGAAAUGUUCUAGUACACACUAGCAAAACAUCUUUUGCAAACUUCCCUCCCACCUCCCUCAACCCAGUGAAAAAGCAGAGUAUACUGUUUGGAGAGGAGGUUUAACAAUUCCAAUUACGGUUAUUUCCCAUCAGUUUUAAAAAGCUAUUUACAAGAAGCAUUACUACGUCUACUGUAAAAUGCAUCAAGCACUUCUAAAUAUCUAGAAAGACUAGAUAUUUCAUAUAAGAACUUACUUGUCCACUAUGUACACAGUACUGUUAAGGAAAAUUGCACACAGGUAACAAUGGCUAUAGUUUGAGGUAUCUCCUAAAUAUGACGAUUUUGGCCUGAACCAUUCCCACCCUCACUUCCUUUUCUCCACCACCAAUCCAGUGGACAAGUACAGGCAUGUAUAACGCUUAGAGGUGUCUGAAUACAUUCAUAUAAAAAAAUCAUUUACAGAAAACAAGCAUUCCUAUGAAUUUCAACACAAAGUGUACAAAAUGUGCUAAUUUUACUACUUUGUCAUACACUGGCAACCUCUUUCAACAUCUAGAGAUUAGAUGUCACAAAAUUAGGACUCAUUUGUCCAUUAUAUACACUAUAUACACAGCAAAACAAAAUGCACAUAACACACAAAAAAUGUUUCAUCUGAAAAUGUCAGGUGCAAACAACUAGCAUAUUACCUUUUGUUAAUUCUUUCCCUCCCACCUCCUCCAAACCACUGAACAAGUGUAGACAACAGUAUACUGCUCACAGAGUGGUUUAACAUUUAACAUUCUCAAAGACAAUACUUCCUAUGAAUUUGAGCAAAAAGUAUUUACAAAGUGGUAUUUCACUACCUCUACAUUUAACAUACGUCGGGCACUUCUAAACAUCUAGGUGGGCUAGAUGUUUCAAAUAAGGACUUAAUUUGUCCACUAUAUACAAAGCAGUCUUGAAUAAACUGCCACAUGUAACAGUUAGAAUCUUGAAAUUGUCUUCAAAAUAUGAGUAUUCUAGCCUAAGACCUUCCCUUCUCUUCUGUCUUCUUUCCACCAUACCCAGGGGGCUAUGAUGCUCAAAUUUUGAUAAGACAAUCUUUCCUAGAAACUUUUAACACAAAAUGUACAAAAUGUAUCAUUUACUAACUCUACUUUUGUCAUACACUGGCAACCUCUUUAACAUCUAGAAAGACUAGAUGUUGUAAAUUAGGACUCAUUUGUCCAUUAUGUACACUAUAUGUACAGCAGAGUGAAACAAAAUGCACUAACGGAAAAGACAAUGGUUCCUCUUGCCUCACUAUAAACACACUGGCAGAGAUCUGCACUUCCCUCCCCUCUCCCGACCAGUGCACAAAACAGAGUGUACUGCUCCAGGAAGGGGUCUGGCCAACCCCCCACUCCCCAUCAUUUCGUAUGAAUUUUAACAAAAAGGUAUUUACAAAAUGUCCUUUUACUACCUCGACUUUUAACAUAUAUCAGGCACUUCAGAACAUCUAGAAAGACUAGGUAUUUCAAAAAAGUACUUAUUGUUAACUAUAUAUACAGUAGUGAGGAACAAAAUGCACACACACAACAAGGGUUAUAUAGAAAUGUCUUCUAAGUAUGACCAGUCUGGCACAGAACUUUCUAUUCUUCCUCCUCAAGGUCUUCCAUUCGACGUCCUCCAACCCACUGAACAAACGGGGACUUCGGUGGCUCCGGAAGUUGCUUCUAAACGUAAUCAAACAACUCCAUUUCGAAAAGUCAUUUCCAGAAGACAUUUCUUUUCUAUAGUUGUUUUUUUUUUUUUAAACAAAUGGGCAUUUACAAGACGUGAUUUUUCUAACUAUUUUAUCAUACGUCGGCAACCUCUUUACAUCUAGGAGGCCUAGAUGUAGCCAAAGUUUUCUUUUGAAAGGUUGGGGGUAAAGUUGAGAGCAGCUUUUUCAUAUUAUAUACACAGGCCUUUAUCAGCGGCCAGUAAAUCUUCCCAGAGGGCCCCGGGCACUUUCUGUUGGCCAUAAGGGGUAUGUUAUUCUACCAUUUCUAUCUUCCGACAUCAAUGUCUCGGUAGAACGACGAUCGAAGCCCACUGGCCUUUGUCCGUCGUUGUCCGGACGAGGUGAGGUCUCGUCCAACUGGGACAGAGCGGUCACCUCAGGUCGCGGAUCCGCGUGGCCCCAAGGCCUAAGGGUGAACGAACUGGCGUCCACAAUCCUUCCCGGGCCUCCGAGGCUCUAACGGCCCUCCGCGGAGUUAGAGCGGCCGCCAUUCUUCUAGUCCUGCCACGCCCGACGCCGAAAGGCGCCACGUUCUCGGUGGCCAGGCGGAGGCUUCGCCUAAGCCCAAGCCCUGCAGCUCUGGGUGAAGAGACCCAGCGGUCGGCAGGAUCCUGGCUCGGAGGGGCCGACGCCAUUAGGUCGCGGCGGUGGGGGUGGGGGUGGGGGUGGGGGGAGAGGUUCGCGGCUGCUUCCAGUCUUGGGCCCUGCCAACUGCCAGCCUCGGCGACCGCUCUGCAAAACACACCCGAGAAUGUCCCGGGGCCCCCCAGUUCACCUACCGACCAAAGGCCGGAGGGCCUGGAGGGCCCCAGGGUAGAAGGCCACGAUCCGCUUCUAGCCGCGCUCUCUGCCGGAACUGACUUG
ensembl:lncRNA